GGCGCAGACAUGGCUGCGCUGGUGGAGCCGCUGGGGCUGGAGCGGGAAGUGUCCCGGGCGGUGGAGCUCCUUGAGCGGCUCCAGCGCAGCGGGGAGCUGCCCCCGCAGAAGCUGCAAGCCCUCCAGCGAGUCCUGCAGAGCCGCUUCUGCUCUGCCAUCCGGGAGGUGUAUGAGCAGCUCUACGACACGCUGGACAUCACCGGCAGUGCUGAGAUCCGGGCCCACGCCACGGCCAAGGCCACGGUGGCCGCCUUCACAGCCAGUGAGGGCCACGCACAUCCCAGGGUAGUGGAACUGCCGAAGACAGACGAGGGCCUGGGCUUCAACAUCAUGGGGGGCAAGGAGCAGAAUUCGCCUAUCUAUAUCUCCCGUGUCAUCCCCGGGGGCGUAGCUGACCGCCACGGAGGCCUGAAGCGUGGGGACCAGCUGCUGUCAGUGAAUGGUGUGAGCGUUGAGGGCGAGCAGCAUGAGAAGGCAGUGGAACUUCUGAAGGCUGCCCAGGGCUCAGUGAAGCUGGUGGUACGCUACACACCUCGGGUGCUGGAGGAGAUGGAAGCCCGCUUUGAGAAGAUGCGCUCCGCCCGGCGGCGCCAGCAACAUCAGAGCUACUCGUGAGCCCUUUGCCACCACACCCCUGGGGCUCCUCUGCCUCCCUCAUCCCCAGACUCCCAGACCAGGCCGGUCCUUGGAGUCUCGAGGCUGAAACCACAGAUCUGGACCCUCACCCCCUCCCCUGUACAGUAUUUAUUGUCACCAACUCCUUAUUUAAAGAUCUUUGACCCU